rfam:Capsicum annuum cultivar Zunla-1 chromosome 8, whole genome shotgun sequence
AGACUAUUGGUGAUGUGGACAAUCCUAAAAAAAAGCCUUGACACAUUCUUAAGCAUGAUAGAGGUUUUCAUCAAUCUUCUAUUUGAAGCUCACUAUUUCACUGUGAAGUCU